CUCUCACUCUCCCCACUGAAACCGAAUUUACACAGUAAGAGAACCCUUUUCCUAACCUUUUCCUAAUUUUCAUGUGCUGAUUAGCUUUGUCUCGGGGCCUAUAUUCUCUCUGCCUCAACUGCGAUCUCAGCCACUUCUUCGUCAGCUCUCAGUUCUCAGCUCAUCUCCCAACAAUUCACCAACCUGCCGGCAAGUUUCUCUCUCUUUACUCUCUCGCUCUCCUCUUUAUUUCCACAAAAAAAGAUUGGGUCUUUCAGUUCUUUCAGCUCAAGUUUCUUUCCAUGGAGUUGAAAGCAUUGACUAGGAUGUAAUUGUGGGCUUGCAAAUACGGUAUUUUGUACUGACUUGUUGAGAGAAAAACUGGGUAAUUGGUGGAUUUUGGGUUCUGGGCAGCUGUAGCCUGUAGUUUAGCUCCAUUUUUAUGCUGGUGUGCUGUUCUUGGUUUUCUGGGGUUCUUGGAAAGAACAAUUUCCAGAAAUUUCUGGGGCUGUGGUGUUAUUGACUUUUUGUUUUGGGGUGAAAUUUAUAGUUUUAUCUCUGAGCUGUAGUUGUUGUUAUUGUUCAAUUGGGUGUUUGUAUCUGGUGGAGUUUGACUAGGGGGCAUUGUAACAUCUCUGGGUUUUUUGUAUCUUGAUCUAUGGAGUCUGAAUUCGGAGGAAAGGCUUGUAAUUUUCGUGGUGUGAUGGUGCCGAAUUUGAAGGGGGUUGGGAAAAAGAGUUUGGAAUGGGAUUUGAAUGAUUUUAAAUGGGAUGGUGAUCUUUUUACUGCUAGUCCAUUAAAUUCUACACCAUCUGAUGGUAGGAGUAGGCAGUUGUUUCCGGCCAGGCCAGAAACUCCGUCGGAUGCUGGUUUGUCCAACAGUUCUUCUUCUGGUUCGGAUAAUAUCAGUCCGGGGAAUGAGAAAGAUCAAAGAGAAUUGGAGAAACGGAGAAGGGAUUUUUUUGUGGAAAACCGAGAGUUGAAUGAUGAAGCUGCGUCUCUGAAUCUUAAACUUGGCGGGCAAACUUACCCCAUUAUGGAAGAAGAAGUACAAACCGGGAAGAAAACAAAGACAAUUGGGACUACUUCAAACCGUGCAGUUUGUCAGGUGGAGGACUGUAAGGCUGAUCUUAGCAAUGCCAAGGAUUAUCACCGGAGGCAUAAGGUCUGUGCUAUGCAUUCUAAGGCAACUAAAGCGCUGGUUGGAAGUGUUAUGCAGCGGUUCUGUCAACAGUGUAGCAGGUUUCAUGCUCUUCAAGAGUUUGAUGAAGGGAAGAGAAGUUGCCGUAGGCGUUUGGCUGGCCAUAAUAGGAGGAGAAGAAAAACACAUCCUGAUACUGCAGUUAAUGGAGGCUCUUUAAACAAUGAAGGCGGAAGCGGUUAUCUAUUGAUUAGCUUGCUGAGAAUACUUUCAAAUAUGCACUCUAGUAGUUCUGAUCAAACAAAGGAUCAGGAUGUCAUAUCUCAUUUGUUGAGGAGCUUAGCCAAUGUUGCUGGUACGGCUGAUGGAAGAAACAUAUCUACAUUGCUGCAGGGAUCUCAAGGUUUAUUUAACAGUGGGACAUCUGUCCAGACUGCACGAAGGGUUCUAGAUAUGAAUGCUGGUGUUAAUACUGAGGACCCUUUAAGGUCUAAAGGACACUGUUCGAUACUACCUGCAUCAAGAGACAGUUCUGAAUCCAAAUCAGUUACACCGGAAGCUACAAGUAGAAGGUUCCAGUUAAAUGAUUGAUUUAAAUAGUACAUAUGAUGAUUCACAGGACUAUGUAGAGAACCUAGGGAAUUCUCAUGUUCCUGCAAGUCCAGGCACUGCAUCUCUUGGUUUUCCUUCAUGGAUGCAGCGUGAUUCUCAUAAAUCAAGCCCACCUCAGACAAGUGGGAAUUCAGACUUAACUUCUACUCAGUCACCGUCAAGUUCUAGUGGAGAAGCUCAGAGUCACACAGACCGAAUUAUUUUUAAACUAUUUGGAAAAGACCCUAAUGAACUUCCACUUGCUCUGCGAUCACAGAUCCUCGACUGGUUAUCUCACAGCCCUACCAACAUUGAAAGCUACAUAAGGCCGGGCUGUAUCAUUUUGACAAUUUACCUUCGUCUAGAAAAAUCCACGUGGGAGGAGUUCUGUUGUCAUCUGGGAUCCAGUUUGAAAACACUUCUUGAUGCUGCGGAUGAUCCUUUUUGGAGAACAGGAUGGGUGUAUACAAGGGUGCAAGAUUAUGUAGCAUUUACAUACAAUGGUGAAGUUGUGUUAGACACACCCUUGCCUCUUAAAAGCAAUAAAAGUUGCAGGAUAUCAUGCAUCAAACCAAUUGCGAUCUCCUUAUCUGAGAGAGCUGAAUUUAUAGUAAAAGGCUUUAACCUUUCUAGUUCCACCACAAGGUUACUCUGUGCUCUAGAAGGGAAGUAUCUGGCUCAAGAAACUUGUUAUGACUUGUUGGAUGAUGCGGAUAGCACUGUUGAGGAUGACGAACAACAAUGCCUUAAAUUCUCCUGCUCUAUACCAAAUGUUACUGGGCGAGGAUUCAUUGAGGUUGAAGAUCAUGGUCUCAGCAGUAGCUUCUUUCCAUUUAUAGUUGCAGAGCAGGAAGUAUGCUCUGAGAUUUGUAUGCUGGAAGAUGUGAUUGAGGUGUCCGAGACUGAUGAUGAUAUCCAAUCUGGACCUGAAAAAGUGGAAGCUAAGAACCAAGCCUUGGACUUUAUACAUGAAUUGGGUUGGCUCCUACAUAGAAGUCGCGUUAAGUUUAGACUGGGUCAAUUGGAUCCCAAUCUAGAUACAUUUCCCUUUAGACGGUUCAGAUUGCUCAUGGAGUUCUCCAUUGACCAUGAUUGGUGUGCUGUGGUGAAGAAACUCUUGGGCAUUCUGUUUGAUGGUACUGUCGACGCUGCAGAGCAUCCUUCCCUUGAGUCUGCACUACUGGAUAUGGGCCUCCUCCACAGAGCUGUGCGAAUCAAUAGCAGACGUAUGGUGGAAUUCUUGUUAAGAUUUGUCCCAGGUUUAACAGGAUCUGAGCAGAAGGAACAAGUUGACAGGGACGGCAACAGUUUCUUGUUUAAACCUGAUGUUGUUGGGCCCAUGGGGUUGACUCCUCUUCAUAUUGCCGCCAGUACUGAUGGCUGUGAGCAAGUAUUGGAUGCCUUAACUGAUGAUCCUGGAAAGGUGGGAAUUAAAGCAUGGAAAAACACUCGAGACAGCACAGGAUUGACACCAUAUGAUUAUGCAUGCCUUCGAAGCCGCUACUCCUAUGUCCAUAUAGUCCAGCGGAAAAUCAGCAAUACACUGGAAAGCGGGCAUGUGGUGCUUGACAUCCCUGGCCUCACGUUAGACAGAAAUGGAAAGCAGAAGCAAUCGGAUGCGCAUAAAUCAUCAAGAGUAGCCAGCUUGGAAACUGAAAGGAAUGAUAUAAAAGCAAUCUUACGACACUGCAGGUUAUGUGAACAGAAACCAGCUUAUAGCACCACACGGUCACUUGUAUACAGGCCGGCAAUGCUGUCAUUGGUGGCUGUCGCUGCUGUCUGCGUUUGCGUGGCCUUGCUCUUUAAAAGCAAUCCGGAAGUUGUUUUCGUGUUGGAGCCAUUCCGGUGGGAACACUUGAAGUUUGGUUCAAGCUAAGGUUAUAGUUUACGUGUAUUAAUUUAUAGUGACUCUGGUUAUACAUAGACCAUUUCUUUUCACGUGGAUAGGAGUAUAUUUUCUAUCUGAUUUUUAUAUGUAUAUCUAGGGCCACUCAAGCCAACAAGACUCUUCGCAUUGCAAUGGUCGGAACGUCUAUCGUAUCUGUAUUUGUAUACCUAAGCUUCCAAAAUAAACAUGGGCUGUCAUGGAUUUUGGUCCACCAGGUUUGAUUGUAUUUGUAUUUGUAUAACAGUGUUACAAACUGGAUGACACAUAAUUUCUCUGUUUGAUAUUUCUUUUUUUUUUUUCAAAAUAAACAUUUGGCACGAGGUGA